GGUCUCAUGGUGUAAUGGUUAGCACUCUGGACUUUGAAUCCAGCGAACCGAGUUCAACUCUCGGUGAGACCU
rnacentral:tRNA from 1 species